AUGCUCGCCGGCCAUGAGCCCCACAAAGUGAAGCUAUGGGAGGCCGGCAGCGGGUGUCGCAGGCUGUGGGACAUGUCGGUGGUGUUCGACGGCGAAGGCCACAUGUACCUAGGGCCCGGCUGGGAGCAUUUUGCCCGUGCCCAUGACCUGAAGCUCGGGCACUUCCUUGUCUUCCGCUAUGAUGGUGACACCCUGUUCACCGUGAAUAUGUUCGACAACACCAUGUGCCGCAUGUACUACAAGCACGACGAUGAUGCCAGCAAUGGGAGCAACAGCAGGGAUGACGAGGAGCAGAGUGGGGAUGACGAGGAGCAGAGUGGGGAUGAUGAGGAGCAGAGCGGGGAUGACGAGGAGCAGAGCAGGGAAGAGGAGGAGCAGAGCGGGGAGGUCAGCCUAUUCUAG
rnacentral:rRNA from 1 species